rnacentral:rRNA from 1 species
ACGAAGGGGGCUAGCGUUGUUCGGAAUUACUGGGCGUAAAGCGCACGUAGGCGGAUUUGCCAGUCAGGGGUGAAAUCCCGGGGCUCAACCUCGGAACUGCCCUUGAUACAGCAAGUCUUGAGUCCGGAAGAGGUGAGUGGAAUUCCUAGUGUAGAGGUGAAAUUCGUAGAUAUUAGGAAGAACACCAGUGGCGAAGGCGGCUCACUGGUCCGGUACUGACGCUGAGGUGCGAAAGCGUGGGGAGCAAACAG